CAGCCGCCGCGGUAAAACGUAGGGUGCAAGCGUUAUCCGGAAUUAUUGGGCGUAAAGAGCUCGUAGGCGGUCUGUCGCGUCUGCUGUGAAAACUGGAGGCUCAACCUCCAGCCUGCAGUGGGUACGGGCAGACUAGAGUGCGGUAGGGGAGAUUGGAAUUCCUGGUGUAGCGGUGGAAUGCGCAGAUAUCAGGAGGAACACCGAUGGCGAAGGCAGAUCUCUGGGCCGUAACUGACGCUGAGGAGCGAAAGCAUGGGGAGCGAACAGGAUUAGAUACCCCUGUAGUCCCUGCCUAUUAUAC
rnacentral:rRNA from 1 species